rnacentral:rRNA from 1 species
CCUACGGGAGGCAGCAGUGGGGAAUAUUGGGCAAUGGAGGAAACUCUGACCCAGCAACGCCGCGUGAAUGAUGAAGGUCUUCGGAGUGUAAAGUUCUUUUCUAAGGGAAGAAGAAAGUGACGGUACCUUAGGAAUAAGCCUCGGCUAACUACGUGCCAGCAGCCGCGGUAAUACGUAGGAGGCAAGCGUGAUCCGGAAUGACUGGGCUUAAGGGGUGCGUAGGUGGUUUGACAAGUUGGUAGCGUAACUCCGAGGCUUAACCUCGGCACUACUACCAAAACUGUUGGACUCGAGUGCAGGAGGGGCAAAUGGAAUUCCUAGUGUAGCGGUGGAAUGCGUAGAUAUUAGGAGGAACACCAGUGGCGAAGGCGAUUUGCUGGACUGUAACUGACACUGAGGCACGAAAGCGUGGGGAGCAAACAGGAUUAGAUACCCGAGUAGUC